UGGCUCAGGACGAACGCUGGCGGCGUGCCUAAUACAUGCAAGUCGAGCGGACAGAUGGGAGCUUGCUCCCUGAUGUUAGCGGCGGACGGGUGAGUAACACGUGGGUAACCUGCCUGUAAGACUGGGAUAACUCCGGGAAACCGGGGCUAAUACCGGAUGCUUGUUUGAACCGCAUGGUUCAAACAUAAAAGGUGGCUUCGGCUACCACUUACAGAUGGACCCGCGGCGCAUUAGCUAGUUGGUGAGGUAAUGGCUCACCAAGGCGACGAUGCGUAGCCGACCUGAGAGGGUGAUCGGCCACACUGGGACUGAGACACGGCCCAGACUCCUACGGGAGGCAGCAGUAGGGAAUCUUCCGCAAUGGACGAAAGUCUGACGGAGCAACGCCGCGUGAGUGAUGAAGGUUUUCGGAUCGUAAAGCUCUGUUGUUAGGGAAGAACAAGUACCGUUCGAAUAGGGCGGUACCUUGACGGUACCUAACCAGAAAGCCACGGCUAACUACGUGCCAGCAGCCGCGGUAAUACGUAGGUGGCAAGCGUUGUCCGGAAUUAUUGGGCGUAAAGGGCUCGCAGGCGGUUUCUUAAGUCUGAUGUGAAAGCCCCCGGCUCAACCGGGGAGGGUCAUUGGAAACUGGGGAACUUGAGUGCAGAAGAGGAGAGUGGAAUUCCACGUGUAGCGGUGAAAUGCGUAGAGAUGUGGAGGAACACCAGUGGCGAAGGCGACUCUCUGGUCUGUAACUGACGCUGAGGAGCGAAAGCGUGGGGAGCGAACAGGAUUAGAUACCCUGGUAGUCCACGCCGUAAACGAUGAGUGCUAAGUGUUAGGGGGUUUCCGCCCCUUAGUGCUGCAGCUAACGCAUUAAGCACUCCGCCUGGGGAGUACGGUCGCAAGACUGAAACUCAAAGGAAUUGACGGGGGCCCGCACAAGCGGUGGAGCAUGUGGUUUAAUUCGAAGCAACGCGAAGAACCUUACCAGGUCUUGACAUCCUCUGACAAUCCUAGAGAUAGGACGUCCCCUUCGGGGGCAGAGUGACAGGUGGUGCAUGGUUGUCGUCAGCUCGUGUCGUGAGAUGUUGGGUUAAGUCCCGCAACGAGCGCAACCCUUGAUCUUAGUUGCCAGCAUUCAGUUGGGCACUCUAAGGUGACUGCCGGUGACAAACCGGAGGAAGGUGGGGAUGACGUCAAAUCAUCAUGCCCCUUAUGACCUGGGCUACACACGUGCUACAAUGGACAGAACAAAGGGCAGCGAAACCGCGAGGUUAAGCCAAUCCCACAAAUCUGUUCUCAGUUCGGAUCGCAGUCUGCAACUCGACUGCGUGAAGCUGGAAUCGCUAGUAAUCGCGGAUCAGCAUGCCGCGGG
rnacentral:rRNA from 1 species